GCCGGGUGUGGUGGCUCACGCCUGUACUCCCAGCUACUUGGGAGGCUGAGGCAGGAGAAUCGCUUGAGCCUGGGAGGCAGAGGUUGCAGUGAGCUGAGAUCAUGCCACUGCACUCCAGCCUGGGCAACAGAGUGAGACUAUGUCUCAA
rnacentral:SRP_RNA from 1 species